CUACGGGUCGCUGCAGUGAGGAAUAUUGCACAAUGGGGGGAACCCUGAUGCAGCAACGCCGCGUGGAGGAUGACGCAUUUCGGUGUGUAAACUCCUUUUAUAUGUCAAGAAAAUGACGGUAGCAUAUGAAUAAGCGCCGGCUAACUCCGUGCCAGCAGCCGCGGUAAUACGGAGGGCGCAAGCGUUACUCGGAAUCACUGGGCGUAAAGGACGCGUAGGCGGGUUGAAAAGUCAGGUGUGAAAGCCUACAGCUUAACUGUAGAACUGCACUUGAAACUCUCAAUCUAGAGUAUGGGAGGGGGAGAUGGAAUUAGUAGUGUAGGGGUAAAAUCCGUAGAUAUCACUAGGAAUACCUAAAGCGAAGGCGAUCUGCUGGAACAUUACUGACGCUAAGGCGUGAAAGCGUGGGGAGCAAACAGGAUUAGAUACCCCCGUAGUC
rnacentral:rRNA from 1 species